AUGCAUGCUGGGCUAUAAUUUAUGAAACGGAGCCCAGGAAACAACCAAUCACUUAGCUCCUCCUAACAAGUCCAACUGGCUAUGAAAAGCUGGAGGUGCUGCACAGAACAAUGAAGAGGAGAUAUCCCACAUAUUAAUCAGCUUAUCUAGGAUUGCCUUCUGUGUAGAGGGGAAGCAUGCAACAAGCGGAGAAAAAGAAGGAAAAAAAAAUAUCACAGCUUCACUGUUGAAACAAGAGAAUAAAUUUUGUUCUACAGGCAUAUCUUUCAUUGUAGCCA
rfam:Merops nubicus contig36562, whole genome shotgun sequence.